AUACUUACCUGGCAAGGGAGACACCAUGAUCACAUAGGUGGUUUUCCUGAGGUGAGGCUCAUCCAUUGUACUCUGAGUGUGCUGACCUCUGCGAUUUCCACAGAUGCAGGAAACUGGACUGCAUAAUUUGUGGUAGUGGGGGACUGUGCUGGUGCUCUCCCCUG